UGGGGAAUAUUGCACAAUGGGCGCAAGCCUGAUGCAGCCAUGCCGCGUGUGUGAAGAAGGCCUUCGGGUUGUAAAGCACUUUCAGCGGGGAGGAAGGCGGUGAGGUUAAUAACCUCAUCGAUUGACGUUACCCGCAGAAGAAGCACCGGCUAACUCCGUGCCAGCAGCCGCGGUAAUACGGAGGGUGCAAGCGUUAAUCGGAAUUACUGGGCGUAAAGCGCACGCAGGCGGUCUGUCAAGUCGGAUGUGAAAUCCCCGGGCUCAACCUGGGAACUGCAUUCGAAACUGGCAGGCUAGAGUCUUGUAGAGGGGGGUAGAAUUCCAGGUGUAGCGGUGAAAUGCGUAGAGAUCUGGAGGAAUACCGGUGGCGAGGGCGGCCCCCUGGACGAAGACUGACGCUCAGGUGCGAAAGCGUGGGGAGCAAACAGG
rnacentral:rRNA from 1 species